CACGUAGGGGGCUAGCGUUGUCCGGAAUCAUUGGGCGUAAAGCGCGUGUAGGCGGCCCGGUAAGUCAGCUGUGAAAGUCGGGGGCUCAACCCUCGAAUGCCGGUGGAUACUGUCGGGCUAGAGUACGGAAGAGGCGAGUGGAAUUCCUGGUGUAGCGGUGAAAUGCGCAGAUAUCAGGAGGAACACCCAUUACGAAGGCAGCUCGCUGGGACGUUACUGACGCUGAGACGCGAAAGCGUGGGGAGCAAACAGG
rnacentral:rRNA from 1 species